rnacentral:rRNA from 1 species
CAGCCGCCACGGUAAUACGAAGGGGGCUAGCGUUGCUCGGAAUGACUGGGCGUAAAGGGCGCGUAGGCGGAUUGUUUAGUUAGGCGUGAAAUUCCCGGGCUUAACCUGGGGACUGCGCUUAAUACAGGCAGUCUAGAGUGAGGAAGAGGGUUGUGGAAUUCCCAGUGUAGAGGUGAAAUUCGUAGAUAUUGGGAAGAACACCGGUGGCGAAGGCGGCAACCUGGUCCUUGACUGACGCUGAGGCGCGAAAGCGUGGGGAGCAAACAGGAUUAGAGACCCCUGUAGUCCCUGUCUCUUAUAC